CUGAAAAACCCAGUGGCAGAUGAAGGAGGAGAACAGAGAUACAUACAAGUCAUUCUUCAAACAAUGUUUCUGUUGCUGUAUAUAAUGUUCUCUUUGUUCUGCUCGUUUCACUUCAUAAUUUCAGGUUUUAGUGGCAUAAAGAGUCAUGAACACCUAUCAAAGAAGAAGCCAAUUUUCUCCCUGUAAAUCUGCCCAGAACAAAUAUAAUGGGUUAGAGUCUCAAGAAUCAAGAAUACCAAACCAACCCAAUUAGUAUUUAUGAGGUGCCUAGGAAUUCAAAGGACAACUAGGAAUUCAAAUAAAUUCAAAUAAAAUUCCA
rnacentral:lncRNA from 1 species